AUUGAACGCUGGCGGCAGGCCUAACACAUGCAAGUCGAACGCGUGGCGGACGGGUGAGUAAUGUCUGGGAGACUGCCCCUUGGGGGGGGGUAACUACUGUAAACGGUAGCUAAUACCGCAUACCCUCGGAUGUGCCCAUAUGGGAUUAGCGAGUGGGUGGGGUAACGGCUCACCUAGGCGACGAUCCCUAGCUGGUCUGAGAGGAUGACCAGCCACACUGGAACUGAGACACGGUCCAGACUCCUACGGGAGGCAGCAGUGGGGAAUAUUGCACAAUGGGCGCAAGCCUGAUGCAGCCAUGCCGCGUGUAUGAAGAAGGCCUUCGGGUUGUAAAGUACUUUCAGCGAGGAGGCGUUACUCGCAGAAGAAGCACCGGCUAACUCCGUGCCAGCCGCCGCGGUAAUUC
rnacentral:rRNA from 1 species